rnacentral:rRNA from 1 species
CCUACGGGAGGCAGCAGUGAGGAAUAUUGGUCAAUGGGCUUACGCCUGAACCAGCCAAGUCGCGUGAGGGAAGACUGCCCUACGGGUUGUAAACUUCUUUUAUAAAGGAAUAAAGUGAGGCACGUGUGCCUUUUUGUAUGUACUUUAUGAAUAAGGAUCGGCUAACUCCGUGCCAGCAGCCGCGGUAAUACGGAGGAUCCGAGCGUUAUCCGGAUUUAUUGGGUUUAAAGGGAGCGUAGAUGGGUUGUUAAGUCAGUUGUGAAAGUUUGCGGCUCAACCGUAAAAUUGCAAUUGAUACUGGCAGCCUUGAGUACAGUUGAGGUAGGCGGAAUUCGUGGUGUAGCGGUGAAAUGCUUAGAUAUCACGAAGAACUCCGAUUGCGAAGGCAGCUUACUAAACUGCCACUGACAUUGAUGCUCGAAAGUGUGGGUAUCAAACAGGAUUAGAUACCCCUGUAGUC